rnacentral:rRNA from 1 species
AGAGUUUGAUCCUGGCUCAGAGCGAACGCUGGCGGCAGGCUUAACACAUGCAAGUCGAACGGAUCCUUCGGGAUUAGUGGCGGACGGGUGAGUAACACGUGGGAACGUGCCUUUAGGUUCGGAACAACUCAGGGAAACUUGAGCUAAUACCGGAUGUGCCCUUCGGGGGAAAGAUUUAUCGCCUUUAGAGCGGCCCGCGUCUGAUUAGCUAGUUGGUGGGGUAAUGGCCUACCAAGGCGACGAUCAGUAGCUGGUCUGAGAGGAUGGCCAGCCACAUUGGGACUGAGACACGGCCCAAACUCCUACGGGAGGCAGCAGUGGGGAAUCUUGCGCAAUGGGCGAAAGCCUGACGCAGCCAUGCCGCGUGGAUGAUGAAGGUCUUAGGAUUGUAAAAUCCUUUCAGCGGGGACGAUAAUGACGGUACCCGCAGAAGAAGCCCCGGCUAACUUCGUG